rnacentral:rRNA from 1 species
AGCAGCCGCGGUAAUUCCAGCUCCAAUAGCGUAUAUUAAAGUUGUUGCAGUUAAAAAGCUCGUAGUUGAAUUUCGGGGUUAGUAGAUUGGUCAUGCCUCCGGUAUGCACUGGUCUUACUGGCUCCUCCUUCCUGAUGAACCGUAAUGCCAUUAAUUUGGUGUUGCGGGGAGACUGGACUGUUACUUUGAAAAAUUAGAGUGUUUAAAGCAGGCUAACGCUUGAAUACAUUAGCAUGGAAUAAUGAAAUAGGACGUUCGAUCUUAUUUUGUUGGUUUCUAAGAUUGACGUAAUGAUUAAUAGGGAUAGUUGGGGGUCAUUAGUAUUCAAUUGUCAGAGGUGAAAUUCUUGGAUUAUUGAAGACUAACUACUGCGAAAGCAUUUG